UACGUAGGGUGCGAGCGUUAAUCGGAAUUACUGGGCGUAAAGCGUGCGCAGGCGGUUUUGUAAGCCAAAUGUGAAAGCCCCGGGCUUAACCUGGGAAUGGCAUUUGGGACUGCAAGGCUCGAGUGCGGCAGAGGAGACUGGAAUUCCUGGUGUAGCAGUGAAAUGCGUAGAUAUCAGGAGGAAUACCGAUGGCGAAGGCAGGUCUCUGGGCUGACACUGACGCUCAUGCACGAAAGCGUGGGGAGCAAACAGG
rnacentral:rRNA from 1 species